rnacentral:misc_RNA from 1 species
GUGAAUCAUCGAAUCUUUGAACGCAAAUUGCACUCUCUUCGGAGAGUAUGCCUGUUUGAGGGUCAGUAUUAAUAAAAAUCGGUGGGUUGCUUUUUUGUGACGCUUCGGAGUUUGGGUCAUCUUAUUAUCCUUUAGGUUUUAAGAGGCUUAAAAUUAACUUUUUUUGGGAUUUUUAGAUGUACAUAAAUUCUUUUUUUUAUUCUUCUGUCUUAAUGCUCAAAUUCUUAUUAGAUGCGCCCAUAUCGUGUGGUUUCGUGUCUAUAAUUUUUCCUU